rnacentral:rRNA from 1 species
UGCCAGACUCCUACGGGAGGCAGCAGUGAGGAAUAUUGGUCAAUGGCCGAGAGGCUGAACCAGCCAAGUCGCGUGAGGGAAGAAUGUCCUAUGGAUUGUAAACCUCUUUUGUCAGGGAGCAAAGUCACCCACGUGUGGGUGUUGGAGAGUACCUGAAGAAAAAGCAUCGGCUAACUCCGUGCCAGCAGCCGCGGUAAUACGGAGGAUCCGAGCGUUAUCCGGAUUUAUUGGGUUUAAAGGGAGCGUAGAUGGGUUGUUAAGUCAGUUGUGAAAGUUUGCGGCUCAACCGUAAAAUUGCAAUUGAUACUGGCAGCCUUGAGUACAGUUGAGGUAGGCGGAAUUCGUGGUGUAGCGGUGAAAUGCUUAGAUAUCACGAAGAACUCCGAUUGCGAAGGCAGCUUACUAAACUGCCACUGACAUUGAUGCUCGAAAGUGUGGGUAUCAAACAGGAUUAGAUACCCCUGUACG